UCAGUGCAAGUCAAGGCACAUGCAGAAACUGCCUAGAGGUACAGCACAGAGCUAAGUCUCUCUGUCUCUUAAAGACCAUCUAAAAGAAAGCAUCAAACUCGGGACCUUCUUAUGCGCUCUGUAAAUAUCAAAGUAAACAUUUUAAUUGGCUGGCGCAAUAUCCUCCAUAUAUUUAUUUCAACAGCACUGGCGUGCGUCUCUUUGGUUGGUCGACAGAAAAUAAUCCCCGGGCUCCGCAAACCGCAGAGUUUGGAGAGAAGUUAGAGAGAGUGGGAGACCUCUACUCUGGACUCCAUACAAUGAGGAAAUUCUGAGGUGGCAAUCCUCGUUCUGUUACGCUCCCUUUGGCUGUAACCAAGGGCUAGCUCAUGAACCGGUGUCCUCUUGCGUGGAAUUCUGUUUUUACUUAGAACUCUGCUGCCUGGACAAAUGCAUACAAAUGCAUUUAGGAGCCCAACGGACAAGGAGUGGACGCGUUUCUCCCACAGCAAUAACAACCCUCCUCCUCCUCCUCCUGUCGCUAUGUGCAGCGGUGCUGCGUGCGGAAGAAGACGACCGAGCGCAAGGUGUCGAUCUCCUCCAUCGGUUGUGCCUGACGGACAGCAGAGAGGCCCCUUACCUCCGGGACCAGCUCUCCUCCCUCCCAGCUGACUGGGCCUUCCCCAGGAGCCGGGGUCACCCUUGACCCGGACGCCCACAUCCAAGCCCCCGCGGGGGGCCUGUUCCCGCCGGAGAUCGGCGAGGAGUUUUCCGUCGUGGUGAGCCUCAGCUCCUGGCGAGCGAACAAUGCCUUCCUCCUCAGCGUGCGCGACGGCAGGGACAGGCUGCAGUUCGGCGUCCAGCUGCUGCCCGACAGGGUGGUGGUCCACACCGGCGAGAAGACCUCCGUCUACUUCGCCGCCCACCGCCUCCCGGGACGGGCGCCCGCACGCCUUCGCCCUGGGCGUGCGUCCGCGCUCCGUGUCCUUCUACGCCGCUUGCGGGGCGGAGCACCGGCGCGAGCAGACCCUCACCAGGGCCCCGACGCUGGGAUCGGGAGGCGUGCUCACCCUCGGGAGGCUGAACUCCACGUCGAGCCCGUUCAGGGCCGCAUAUGCCAGCUGGACAUCUACCCCUCGGCCCGCGCCGCCUCCCGCUACUGCGACUACCUAAAAAAACAGUGCCGGUUGG